rnacentral:rRNA from 1 species
CUGGCUGAGGGUCGUAUCAAUUUAAAAGACUGCUCGG